UGGGGUGUGGCUCAGUGGUGGAGUGCUCCCCUAGCAAGUACGAGGCACUGGGUUCGAUCCUCAACACCACAU
rnacentral:tRNA from 1 species